AGUAAUGUUUGCCUUGACCAUCUGUGAUUUAUUUUUUGAUGAACACAGCUGUUCAGACUAACAGAUUUUAGAUUAUAAUUAUUAUUUUGUGAGUUCUGUCCUCUUGUUUUUCCUGUUUUUUCACAUUUAUUUCAACAACCUGCAAUAAAAUAUCAUCAGAAUAAAAUAAAGAAACAGGUAAAAAUGACAGCUUAUGUUCCAAACAGCACUAACAGCACAGAGGAGUCAGGUGUCACCCAGGCAGCAUGCCAAUCCCUCAUUCAGAACAAUAUACCAACACACCUGGUGACAUCAGCACCAGCAGUCCCUCUGAUUGGCCGUCGGUAUGAGCGAGCUGAUUAGAAGAGGGUUUGGUCGACUAACCUACUAAUCGGUCUACGAAUCAUCCUGCCCAGAUCAGUUGAUGAUUGGUGUGGAGCACCCAUCAUUUCGAUGUACAUGACAAACACAAUAAACGGCGA